UACGUAGGGUGCGAGCGUUAAUCGGAAUUACUGGGCGUAAAGCGUGCGCAGGCGGUUCGUUGUGUCGGCGGUGAAAGCCCCGGGCUCAACCUGGGAAUGGCCGUUGAAACUGGCGAACUGGAGUGUGGCAGAGGGGGGUGGAAUUCCCGGUGUAGCGGUGAAAUGCGCAGAUAUCGGGAGGAACACCAAUGGCGAAGGCAGCUCGCUGGGACGGUACUGACGCUGAGACGCGAAAGCGUGGGGAGCAAACAGG
rnacentral:rRNA from 1 species